AGUGAACGCUGGCGGCAGGCCUAACACAUGCAAGUCGAACGGCAGCACAAGAGAGCUUGCUCUCUGGGUGGCGAGUGGCGGACGGGUGAGGAAUGCAUCGGAAUCUGCCCAUUUGUGGGGGAUAACCUCGGGAAACCGGGACUAAUACCGCAUACGACCUACGGGUGAAAGCAGGGGAUCUUCGGAUCUUGCGCAGAUGGAUGAGCCGAUGCCGGAUUAGCUAGUUGGAGGGGUAAAGGCCCACCAAGGCGACGAUCCGUAGCUGGUCUGAGAGGAUGAUCAGCCACACUGGGACUGAGACACGGCCCAGACUCCUACGGGAGGCAGCAGUGGGGAAUAUUGGACAAUGGGCGCAAGCCUGAUCCAGCCAUGCCGCGUGUGUGAAGAAGGCCUUCGGGUUGUAAAGCACUUUUGUUGGGAAAGAAAAGCAGCCGGUUAAUACCCGGUUGUCAUGACGGUACCCAAAGAAUAAGCACCGGCUAACUUCGUG
rnacentral:rRNA from 1 species